UGGGGAAUAUUGCGCAAUGGGCGAAAGCCUGACGCAGCGACGCCGCGUGGGUGAUGAAGGCCUUCGGGUCGUAAAGCCCUGUCGGGAGGGAAGAAACCUCGCCGUUCAAAUAGAUCGGCGACUUGACGGUACCUCCUAAGGAAGCACCGGCUAACUCCGUGCCAGCAGCCGCGGUAAUACGGAGGGUGCGAGCGUUGUUCGGAAUCACUGGGCGUAAAGCGCGUGUAGGCGGCCUCUUAAGUCCGAUGUGAAAGCCCGGGGCUCACCCCCGGAAGUGCAUCGAAUACUGGGAGACUCGAGUACCGGAGAGGAAGGUGGAAUUCCUGGUGUAGCGGUGAAAUGCGUAGAUAUCAGGAGGAACACCGGUGGCGAAGGCGGCCUUCUGGACGGAUACUGACGCUGAGACGCGAAAGCGUGGGGAGCGAAACAGGAUUAGAUACCCUGGUAGUCCACGCUGUAAACGAUGGGUACUAGGUGUUCGGGGUAUUGACCCCCUGAGUGCCGCAGCU
rnacentral:rRNA from 1 species